rnacentral:lncRNA from 1 species
UGCGAGGGGGAGAGGCACCAGUUAGCAAAAGUUGAUGACACACAAAAAAGUAAUUCAAUGAAGCAUAUAUUAUACAAAGACCGAAAACCACAUGGUGUCUGAGGUCUUACAUCAUACUGUGCAGGCACACAGGAUAACAAAUAAGAUUUAACAACACGCUUAAAAAAGAGACAUUAAUAUGGGCUCAUUGAGAUUAAUUAGAACUUGCGGAUGUUGAU